GCCCACGACCGAGUCACCCCGAGUGCACCCAAUUUGGUCAGGGCUCAGAAGCUAAGCGACGGUUAAUCCUCGUGAGUACAUGGACGGCAGACUGCCUGGCAAUGCCGGGUGUCGUAAGCU
rnacentral:rRNA from 1 species